GUGGGGAAUCUUGCGCAAUGGGCGAAAGCCUGACGCAGCCAUGCCGCGUGAAUGAUGAAGGUCUUAGGAUUGUAAAAUUCUUUCACCGGGGACGAUAAUGACGGUACCCGGAGAAGAAGCCCCGGCUAACUUCGUGCCAGCAGCCGCGGUAAUACGAAGGGGGCUAGCGUUGCUCGGAAUUACUGGGCGUAAAGGGCGCGUAGGCGGACAGUUUAGUCAGAGGUGAAAGCCCAGGGCUCAACCUUGGAAUUGCCUUUGAUACUGGCUGUCUUGAGUACGGGAGAGGUGAGGGGAACUCCGAGUGUAGAGGUGAAAUUCGUAGAUAUUCGGAAGAACACCAGUGGCGAAUGCGACUCGCUGGCCCGUUACUGACGCUGAGGCGCGAAAGCGUGGGGAGCAAACAGGAUUAGAAACCCGGGUAGUCC
rnacentral:rRNA from 1 species